GAUGAAGAACGUAGCGAAAUGCGAUAAGUAAUGUGAAUUGCAGAAUUCAGUGAACCAUCGAAUCUUUGAACGCACAUUGCGCCCGGCAGUAAUCUGCCGGGCAUGCCUGUCCGAGCGUCAUUUCUGCCCUCGAGCGAGUCCAGCAUCUAGGUGCUGGGCCCGCCCGGCGUUGGGGCACUACGGGAAGCCCUGUGCUGUCCCCCGUAGGCCCCGAAAUGAAGUGGCGGUCCUGCCGCGGCACCCCCUGCGUAGUAUAACAGCUCGCUUCGGGACCCGGUGGAGGCCUGCCGUCAAACCUUACUCUCUAAGUUUGACCUCGGAUCAGGUAGGGUUACCCGCUGAACUUAAGCAUAUCAAUAAGCGGAGGA
rnacentral:misc_RNA from 1 species